CAGCCGCCGCGGUAAAACCAGCACCUCGAGUGGUCAGGAGGUUUAUUGGGCCUAAAGCAUCCGUAGCCGGUUGCAUAAGUUUUCGGUUAAAUCUAUGCGCUUAACGUAUAGGCCGCCGAAAAUACUGUGCAGCUAGGGAGUGGGAGAGGUACACGGUACUCGAUAGGAAGGGGUAAAAUCCUUUGAUCUAUUGAUGACCACCUGUGGCGAAGGCGGUGUACCAGAACACGUUCGACGGUGAGGGAUGAAAGCUGGGGGAGCAAACCGGAUUAGAGACCCCCGUAGUCCCUGUCUCUUAUAC
rnacentral:rRNA from 1 species